rnacentral:rRNA from 1 species
UCCUACGGGAGGCAGCAGUGAGGAAUAUUGGUCAAUGGGAGAGAUCCUGAACCAGCCAAGCCGCGUGAGGGAAGACGGCCCUAUGGGUUGUAAACCUCUUUUGUCGGAGAACAAAACCCGGGACGAGUCCCGGACUGCGUGUAUCCGAAGAAAAAGCAUCGGCUAACUCCGUGCCAGCAGCCGCGGUAAUACGGAGGAUGCGAGCGUUAUCCGGAUUUAUUGGGUUUAAAGGGUGCGUAGGCGGUCUGUUAAGUCAGCGGUAAAAUUGCGGGGCUCAACCCCGUCGAGCCGUUGAAACUGGCAGACUUGAGUUGGCGAGAAGUACGCGGAAUGCGCGGUGUAGCGGUGAAAUGCAUAGAUAUCGCGCAGAACUCCGAUUGCGAAGGCAGCGUACCGGCGCCAGACUGACGCUGAGGCACGAAAGCGUGGGGAUCGAACAGGAUUAGAUACCCUGGUAGUCCACGCAGUAAACGAU